GACCUCGCCGUCCCGCCCGCCGCCUUCUGCGUCGCGGGGCGGGCCGGCGGGGUCCU
rnacentral:precursor_RNA from 1 species